rnacentral:rRNA from 1 species
GAUGAACGCUGGCGGCGUGCUUAACACAUGCAAGUCGAACGAUGAAGCCCAGCUUGCUGGGUGGAUUAGUGGCGAACGGGUGAGUAACACGUGAGUAACCUGCCCUUGACUCUGGGAUAAGCCUGGGAAACUGGGUCUAAUACUGGAUAUGACUUCUCAUCGCAUGGUGGGGGGUGGAAAGAUUUAUUGGUCUUGGAUGGACUCGCGGCCUAUCAGCUUGUUGGUGAGGUAAUGGCUCACCAGGGCGACGACGGGUAGCCGGCCUGAGAGGGUGACCGGCCACACUGGGACUGAGACACGGCCCAGACUCCUACGGGAGGCAGCAGUGGGGAAUAUUGCACAAUGGGCGCAAGCCUGAUGCAGCGACGCCGCGUGAGGGAUGACGGCCUUCGGGUUGUAAACCUCUUUCAGUAGGGAAGAAGCGAGAGUGACGGUACCUGCAGAAGAAGCGCCGGCUAACUACGUG